rnacentral:rRNA from 1 species
UGGGGAAUAUUGGACAAUGGGCGAAAGCCUGAUCCAGCCAUGCCGCGUGUGUGAAGAAGGUCUUCGGAUUGUAAAGCACUUUAAGUUGGGAGGAAGGGCAGUUACCUAAUACGUAUCUGUUUUGACGUUACCGACAGAAUAAGCACCGGCUAACUCUGUGCCAGCAGCCGCGGUAAUACAGAGGGUGCAAGCGUUAAUCGGAAUUACUGGGCGUAAAGCGCGCGUAGGUGGUUUGUUAAGUUGGAUGUGAAAUCCCCGGGCUCAACCUGGGAACUGCAUUCAAAACUGACAAGCUAGAGUAUGGUAGAGGGUGGUGGAAUUUCCUGUGUAGCGGUGAAAUGCGUAGAUAUAGGAAGGAACACCAGUGGCGAAGGCGACCACCUGGACUGAUACUGACACUGAGUGCGAAAGCGUGGGGAGCAAACAGGAUUAGAUACCCACGUAGUCCCUGAGCGGGCUGGCAAGGC